rnacentral:rRNA from 1 species
CCUACGGGCGGCAGCAGUGGGGAAUAUUGGACAAUGGGGGGAACCCUUAUCCAGCCAUGCCGCGUGUGUGAAGAAGGCCCUCGGGUUGUAAAGCACUUUCAGUGAGGAAGAACGCCUGGUGGUUAAUACCCAUCAGGAAAGACAUCACUCACAGAAGAAGCACCGGCUAACUCCGUGCCAGCAGCCGCGGUAAUACGGAGGGUGCGAGCGUUAAUCGGAAUUACUGGGCGUAAAGCGCGCGUAGGUGGCUUGAUAAGCCGGUUGUGAAAGCCCCGGGCUCAACCUGGGAACGGCAUCCGGAACUGUCAAGCUAGAGUGCAGGAGAGGAAGGUAGAAUUCCCGGUGUAGCGGUGAAAUGCGUAGAGAUCGGGAGGAAUACCAGUGGCGAAGGCGGCCUUCUGGACUGACACUGACACUGAGGUGCGAAAGCGUGGGUAGCAAACAGGAUUAGAUACCCUGGUAGUC